rnacentral:rRNA from 1 species
GGCGAACGCUGGCGGCGUGCUUAACACAUGCAAGUCGAACGGAAAGGCCCCUUUGGGGGUACUCGAGUGGCGAACGGGUGAGUAACACGUGAGUAACCUGCCCUUGACUUCGGGAUAACUUCAGGAAACUGGGGCUAAUACCGGAUAGGAAUCCUUGCUGAAAGGUGGGGGUUGGAAAGCUUCGGCGGUUUUGGAUGGACCCGCGGCGUAUCAGCUUGUUGGUGGGGUAGUGGCUUACCAAGGCGUUGACGGGUAGCUGGCCGGAGAGGGCGACCGGCCACAUUGAGACUGAGAGACGGCCCAGACGCCUACGGGAGGCAGAAGGGGGGAAUAUUGAACAAGGGGCGGAAGCCGGAUGCAGCAGCGCCGCGUGCGGGAUGACGGCCUUCGGGUUGUGAACCGCUUUCAGCAGGGGCGAAGCUUGUGGUGACGGUACCUGCAGAAGAAGCACCGGCUAACUACGUG